rnacentral:piRNA from 1 species
UUGUUGUAUUAAAUAAAGAGGACUGU